ensembl:lncRNA
CUCACCAGGAUUGGAGAAUCGCCUGCAGGGCUCGCAGCCGCGGUCCCACAGAGCAGCAGAGGGUCCAGAUCAGCAGAGGGUCCACACUUCCUGCCAGGGAAGAUCCAGGGCAGAAGGAGAAGAGGGCGGCCGAGGAUGAGAUGCUUGGAUGGCAUCACCGACUCGAUGGACAUGAACUUGGGCGAACUCUGGGAGAUGGUGAUGGACAGGGAGGCCUGGCGUGCUGCGGUCCAUGGGGUCGCAAAGAGUCGGACACGACUAAGCGACUGAACAGCAGCAACUACUCCCUUCCGAUGGGAAGCCUGGCUCCAGCCACAGGAAUCCUGGGGGUGAGGGGAGGCGUGGAAGCACCCCCAAGUGACUUUGGCUGUUUCUCAUUCUGGGUUGGUGAUCCCAAAGCUGCCUGUGGAGACUUCCCAGAGUGUUUCCAACACUUUAAAGCUUGCGCAGAUAGAAAUCAAGUGGAGACUUAAUGCACGUGUAUUUAAGAUUGAUCUGUUGCAGGAGCAUGUCCUCCUCUGUAAAGCCGUGGGUCAGCACAGCCUGGGACCUGCCCACCUGAGCAGGGAGAGGGGCCACCACUUGGACCGUGUGACCUUGAGCAGCCUCCUCUGUUUCGUCGCAGCCUGCAUGCCUUAAUGAAGCGAGCUGCCGUGUAGAGGAGGCCCACGUGGCGCAGAACAGGGAGCAGACUCCAGCCAACAGUCCACAUGGGAGGGUCCGAGACCCUCAACCCAACAAGGGUCCAGGUGCUGCCAACAGCCUCCAAGUGCGCAUGGCAGCCAGUCCGUCCCCAGCGGAGCCUUCGGACCACAGACCCUGGGUCAGUGCCAGGACCUCGGCCUCUGGGACCACACAAAACAUGUAGCCGCCUGCACUCUGCCCACGCGCCUGACCACACAAACUGCGAGACGAGGCGACCACGUGUUAAGUUUGGGGUGACUUGUCACGCGGCAAGAGAUAACUGAGACACUGGCUCAGCUACUGCCACGUCAAGAACAAGUAAUGGAAUCUCAGCGAAAAGUGGCUCAACAUUAAGGAUUUUUUUUAAUGUGGCUAACUUUAUUCUCCAUAGCAAUAUUGAUAUCAACAGAGAAUGGAGCAAAUGUUUGUAAAGUAAUGAGGGAAAGAAAAUGUGAGCCAAGAACAUUAAACCCAGUUAGAUGCUGCUCAAGUAAAAACACAGUAAAGCAAUUAAAAAAAAAAAAAACUUACCAACGUAUACAAUUGGUGAUUUUAUUGUAACUACACUUCAAUACAGAUUUUUUUUUAAGGAUUGAAAAAUAAUAAUAAAUGUGUUUGCAGGAACGUUAAAGGUAAGCUAGGUCAAGGGUGUGAUUUUGUACAGAAGUCAGCAAAUACUCCA